AGGAAGGAACUGCUAAUUGGUGACACC
rnacentral:piRNA from 1 species